rnacentral:rRNA from 1 species
AUUGAACGCUGGCGGCAGGCCUAACACAUGCAAGUCGAGCGAGCGGCGGACGGGUGAGUAAUGUCUGGGAAACUGCCGGUUGGAGGGGGAUAACUACUGGAUACGGUAGCUAAUACCGCAUAACAUCAGCUGUGCACAGAUGGGAUUAGCUAGUAGGUGGGGUAACGGGUCACCUAGGCGACGAUCCCUAGCUGGUCUGAAAGGAUGACCAGCCACACUGGAACUGAGACACGGCCCAGACUCCUACGGGAGGCAGCAGUGGGGAAUAUUGCACAAUGGGCGAAAGCCUGAUGCAGCCAUGCCGCGUGUGUGAAGAAGGCCUUCGGGUUGUAAAGCACUGUCAGCGGGGAGGCGUUACCCGCAGAAGAAGCACCGGCUAACUCCGUGCCAGCAGCCGCGGUAAUUC